rnacentral:sRNA from 1 species
AGGAAGAGGAGAAUGAUGAUGACAACAGUCUGGAGGGGGAGACGUUUCCCCUGGAACGGGAUGAAGUGAUGCCUCCCCCGCUACAGCACCCACAGACUGACAGGCUGACUUGCCCCAAAGGGCUCCCGUGGGCUCCCAAGGUCAGAGAGAAAGACAUUGAGAUGUUCCUUGAGUCCAGCCGCAGCAAAUUUAUAGGUUACACUCUAGGCAGUGACACGAACACAGUGGUGGGGCUGCCCAGGCCAAUCCACGAAAGCAUCAAGACUCUGAAACAGGUGAGUGGCUUUGGGUGAGCUUUUGGCUUGUUUGGUCCUAAGUGAGUAGAGUGAAACCAGCCUGUAGAGAGAAGCCUUUUAAGACUGUUGUCUGCCUGGAAGAACCUGGGGUGGAGGCCGGGGUAGACUUUGCAAUAACCUUGCAAACAGUCUUUCGUAAGUUUUGCUUGUUUUAUUGUAAGUUUUACUUGUUUUAGCUGAGCUUUUGUUUGGGACUGACUGGAAAGUCUUUAAAGAUUAUAUUACCUGACCACCGGGCACCAAGGCAUGCGCCUGUAGUUCCAGCUACUCAAGAGGCUGAUGCAGGAGGAUUGUAGCUUGAUCACAGCAGAUCAAGGCUACAGUGAGCUAUGAUCAUGGCCCUGCACUCUAGCCUGGGCCACAGAGUGAGACCCGGAUUCUUUAAAAAAAAAAAAAAAAAAAAAA